rnacentral:miRNA from 1 species
GAAUUUUCAUUUUCUUUCGUGUGUGUAUAUACAAUAAAAAUUAGGGUAUAUAUAUGUACAUAUGUAGAUAUAUGUACAUAUGUACAUAUAUAUAUAUGUACAUAUAUGUAUAUACACACACGAAAGAAAAUGAAAAUUC